UACAAUUUUCUUGGAAGCCAUUGU
rnacentral:siRNA from 1 species